GAGUAGCAAUACUUGAGACCGGCGCACGGGUGCGUAACGCGUAUGCAAUCUACCUUUUACAGGGGAAUAGCCCAGAGAAAUUUGGAUUAAUGCCCCAUGGUAUAAUCGAAUGGCAUCAUUUGAUUAUUAAAGUUCCAACGGUAAAAGAUGAGCAUGCGUCCUAUUAGCUAGAUGGUAAGGUAACGGCUUACCAUGGCAACGAUAGGUAGGGGUCCUGAGAGGGAGAUCCCCCACACUGGUACUGAGACACGGACCAGACUCCUACGGGAGGCAGCAGUGAGGAAUAUUGGACAAUGGGCGCAAGCCUGAUCCAGCCAUGCCGCGUGCAGGAAGAAGCAUCUAUGGU
rnacentral:rRNA from 1 species